rnacentral:lncRNA from 12 species
CUUCUUUACAAAUUGUGCGCCUUCUGUUCCAGCUUUUCUCAUCCUUACCUGUAAGUAAUCUUUGGAACAACGAAUAGUUAAAACCCAUCUCAAGAUUUUUUUUCCAGUAUCUCACUUUGCCGUGAUUGGUCUGGCCUUACAAACAAAAGAAAACUUCUUAUUUUGCUAGUCAUUUGUUUGGUUUCUUUCUUAGUCCUCUCUAGGAUGGCUGCAAUAAGGACAGAGUAUUCCUGAAGGCCCUUUCUGGCCAUAUGGAGAGAAACUUCUCUACAGACUCUGUGCUGUGUACACUCACCAUUCCUAUAAUGGAAUGCCAGCAAUGUUGCCUGAAGCAACCUGACACACACAACAAUAUGUGUAUUCAUUGGAAUAUUAAACAGUGAAACAAUUCUACAGCACAGGCUUUGUGAUCCGUUGAUCCCAAACCCUCAGAGUCUAGCUUUAUCCUUCUGCACGCAUCACCCUCUACCCCCAGAACAUGCAUUUUAUUGCACGUUUUGUGGCAAGAUUUAUGACAAUUAUCACCCAAAUCCAUAAUUAGCAAGUGGUAACAGAUAGGCAGAUAGAUCCACUUAUAGUGACAUCUCUGACAGAUUGACACCCCCCCACACACACACACCUUAAAAAUACCUGCAAGGCUUCUCAUUUUAAACGUGGCCGUACUCAAACACGGUGCUGGCAAGCCUAGUCUCGUGUUCACAGAAGGGGAGGGGGCUCUAAAAGCAACAUGUUCUCACAAGCAUGCAGAGCCCAUGCAUAAACCAUUUGGCUUUGCAAUUAAAAACAGGUUUGGCUUCCCUCCGCAUCAGUUAGACAACGUCAAAGCAACAUUCAUCCCGAAAAUUUUCCCUUGUGAAUUCAAAUGAACUAGUGCUGAGGAGAAGAAAAACUGCAGCUCAGUGUGCACGAGGUCACCUGGGAAGUCAAAAGUCAUUGCUCACCUCCUGCCAUCAUAAUUCUGCACUUUCACAAGGGAGUGCAACUUCUGUGCACGGCCCCGAGCACUCCACGAGUGUCCAUGCUCUCCACACCAAACCAAGUAUGAACACCGUCAACAGGAGACGGUCAGUGAUCCCUGAUUCUAUCCCGGCCAGGGGUCUGGACCCAGAGGCGGAGACCUGAGUUAACUGGGUGGGGGCUUUUCACAACCGGUCUGGGAUUAUUUCAUCUGUGGUGACUAUAAUGAGAAUCAGAUUUGCAUUGUCUUAUAGCUCCGAUGCUGUCCAGUCUUCUAAGAACUUAAGGUUUCACCAAGACUGAGAGGAAAGAACUUCUUUUCCCAAUUUUAUGACACAUGUAAAAUGUCUACUUUUGUAUUUAAAAAUUAUUUUAAGCUUAAGAAAAAUAAAGAAAAACAGAGGGAAAAAUUAGUUUAAGGU